GAAAAACUGAGUCCAAAAGUGCUGGGAUUUGAGGAGGAGACAAAGAACUUUCUCAAUUCCAGGCAUUUAAGUUCAGUUAUUUGUAAUACCUCUGCAAGUGAAGCCAUCUCCAUAAUAACCAUUAGGACAACGACCACACCUGAUGCUUCCAUCCUGACUUGGCUCACAGUGUACACCAGGAAAACAGGGUGAUACAGCAUGGCUCCCUGAAGAUGCAGUCAUCACAGUAUGUACUGAAGAACUCAUUUCCAUGUCAGCAAGGUGACCACUGAUGGUCCUGAGAGUGUGAGCAAUGUUUCCAGUAACAGCAGGUUGUAAAGAAGCACUUCUCUGAGAAUUAAGUGACUUCCAGGCAGUGAUUGUUUUUACUGUGGAGGCUGGUGGUGUGCUGCUACUGACCAUUUCUGUAGAAAUAAAUCUCUUUGGGACAUCUGUAGAACUGGGAAUAUAGCUUGAGAUGCUUAAAACCUUCUCAAAGGAUGAUUGUUGAAACCCUGCAGCAUGUUAGAAAGAAAGGGGGAAAAAAGUAUGUGAACACAGACUCUUUUCCUUCUGAGCAUGGGGAACGCUUUCUGAACAGAUAAACAUACAGCCCAUUCAUUCUCUGAUUCAAGAAGUCCCUCCAUGUGCUACAUCAGAAUGUAAGCAGUAGAACCUAAGUGGUAGAAUUAGAGAAGAUCAAGGUAUUCUGUUUACAUCCUUUUCCACCCUCACCAUGGCCUUUUCUUGGCUGGAAGAUAAGGAGAAAUCACCAUAUAUAUGAGUUAGAUACCAGAGAUUUCCCCAUACCACGUCAAUAAAGAGAUUUACUGUCAGAGCAGAUUACCAGAUCCAUAUAUGGCUUCCAGCCAGGUUAUUGAAAGAAUUUAAAGAAAAGAUACUGCAUAUGGUUCAUCAGUGUGUCUAAGUGCUAGUAAUAAGCUGAGAGUCCAGAAGCAGAGAUUUAAUCACAAGUAUAGAGAUGAUUUUACUUACUGAUGCACCAUGGACAGUAUUCUCGGUGAAUAAUCCACCACCUUGUUGCAAAAGUAUUACCAUCUUUUACUCUUCAAACUUUUUAAGCAACUUUCUUAAAGUUUCUACAUGGGUUUUAUUAGUAGGUUUUGCAUGUGUUUGCUAAACAACAGAGACUGACUCAGCCUCCUCAUUGAAAGGAGUGCAAAAUGAAUGAAACCUUCUUCAUAUUCUGCCCAAUAAAAGUUGGAAGUCUGUGGAAAGGAGUAAGGCACUGUAAUCCAAGACUGCUGGAAUGCUAUAUGUGGUCAUUUAGCAUUAAGGGGCAGAGGAAGAAUGAAACCCCAAUCCAUUUACAAUAGUCCUAAAAAGUGGUCCACAAAAGGUUAAACUUUACUGAAUCGUAUUAGAGUUCUAUCUCCUAAUGCUGAAAAGCAAACCAUUUUGCAGCUGAUGAAGAGUUAUCCAGCAUUGGCAGUGGAGUGAGAGAGUACCUCCCUUCUCCCUCAACAACAAUUCAGAGAUAAAGGGAAAAGACACACGAGAAUUUCCUGCAAAGAAAGCCCCAGCAGGCACAGACCUGGAAAUGCCAGCAACAGCAUUUAGAGUUUUAGAAUAAAGACAGUCACUUGCCACAUCUUUCACCUUUCCUUUGAGUUAAAGCAGGAAAAUGGCAUUCAACAUAAUGCCAUAAACUUUUGCUUAUCUCAUAUAACAGAUGUUCCUAUCCCCAGGUUACCUAUUUUAUGUCAGUGGUUAGUCACUAAAACAAAAGGCAACUCUAGGAGUGUCAUACAUCACACUCUUAAUAAAAUUACUUGACUGACCUAAGGGAUUUGUUGAUAUUGACAUUUCAGUCUUAUUUUUCAGAUCAGAAUACAACCCCAGCAAUGAAUUAAAUUGUGUCAAACUGAAAAAUUAAACUAACAUAAAACUGACUAGGACCUUUGUUUGACAACUAUAUUCUUAUCAGUAUGUGAAUUGGAAAUUCAAUUCUCUUUAUGAAAAGAAAUCACCUUUAUUCCCUCCAAUUUCUCCUGUGGAAUCCUUCCUUUCAACAUCAGUGUCUUCAAAGCUUUCUAAAAAAAAUAUGUGAAGGCACAUUAGUAGUGCACAGAAGCAGCUACAUUUGUUUCAACUUUAAAUAAAGUAAAAGUUAAAGUUUCAACAGAUAAAAACAACUCAAAAUUCAGAAAGCAGAUAAAAAGUAAAAAAUAUUUCUUAAAUAUUUUUUAAUAACUUUUAAAAAGUUUUUAACAGAGUAUUUUAAAAAUUCAAGUUAUUCAGUAAUUGCAUUGUAAACAAAUAUUUGGGCACCUUAUUUGGCAAAUGCCUUGAUUUGGGUAAAUAAUUCUAUGCUAAUCAAUCUAAUAGAAAAAUAUUUUGUCAAUAAUUUCUCAUAUUAUGAAAAUAAUGAAGAAACCCCCCCCAAAAUUUCAUUGUAUUCUACUUUGAUAUAAAAGAAUUGGGGUGUUUUGUAUGUUUUUUUUCUUGUCACUAGAAGAAGUUUUUUACAGCUAUGAAACCCAGUACAGUCUGAUGUUGCCAUCACCAGAGACACAGUCCUGUUUUGCUGACUACAGAAAAGAGUUUUAAGUUACUGUUAGAAACAUGAAGCAUAAUCAAAGAUAUUUAAUCUAAAUGACAGUAAGAUAGUACUACUCUUCUGAAAAACAAGGAAUUUUACCAUAACAUGACUUCCCAUCUCCUUGCAGAUUAUUUGGGCAUGGACCACAAUAGUAAGAACCAAAAGUAUUGAAGCAAAAUACUCCAGGGAAGCAAGGACUAGAUACACAUUCAUCUACAUCCUCUUGACAGUGUUUACCUGCAUUAAAAUACAGAUUUAAUUUUUUCUAUAAUAUUGUGUCACUAGACUUUGAUGGCAUAUUUAUAAAAGUACAAUGUAUGCCAGUGCUGAAAUAGAGAAAAAAGUAUCUAUAAUUUCAGUACAGCUAAUAAGAACAGCUGACUAGGUUUGCAAUUCACAUUUUUUCAUCUUAUAUUAAGUAUCUUGCUUAUUGCAGAAUAUGGAGAAAAUGAGCUGUGGGAACUACAUGUUUAUCUGCAGGAGAAAUCACACUGUAACCAAACUCAUCAUUCCUAUGUUUCUCCAUAUCGCUGAGUUUACCUCUGUGGAGAAAAACAGUGGAAAUUUGCUUUCAUAGUAAACUAAAAUAAACAACCAUUGUAUUCAUGCAAGAAAAAUCUUGAAGUAUACCAUAUAUCUUUAUCACCAGAACAGAAAAUUUCUUCAUAAUCUAACAGUAAGCUAUUUACGGACAAAAAUUAAAUAAUACAAUUUCAGACAUAUAAUUAGAAACUCCUAUUUAUCACUGAACGUGAUAAAUGUGUGUAAAUAAAGUAGCAAUUUACCUUGAAGUUCAGGUGGACAUUCACAGUAAUAGCUGUUUAUUCCAUCCACACAUCUGCCAAUACCACACUGGUUAAGUCUACAGUCAUCAGUAUUCCCUUCACAGAGAUCACCUUCAAAUCCAGCCACACACACACAAAGAUAUCUUCCACUUCCAGGUGGGAAAUUAAUGUUUGUCACACAUGAGCCAUUAUUUAGGCAAUCACAUGAUUUUACACUGACCUACAAGACAUGCCCAAUAAGACAGUUUUCUAUUUUUUUAAUGAACUAGCAAUGAGUUCUGUAAUUAGAUAUCUUAAAUAUCUUAUUAGUAGGUGUCAUUUUACUGUAAUAUUCAUUACCUCUAUUUCUACCUUAGUUGUUGCAUUGCAGUCAUCUGUCAAAGAAAAUGUUAAUUUAUGGAGAUUUGUUGACACAGCUUUCCACAAAAGGAGACCUGAUGGGGAAAGACUGGCACCUUCUGGACCAGAAUCUAAUGUGAAAUGAAUAGCAGAGCCCUCUGGAUCUGAAGCCAAAAACUGAUAUACAAAAUCUUCUCCAUAAAAAGUCUGUAGCAUAACCUGAGAAGUUUCAAGGACUGGAGGCUGAUUGUCUGUAACAAAGAAGAUGUUUUCAUCUUUUAAGCAAAAGUUACAGUAUACUUAAAAAAAUUAAAAGAAUAAUGUCUUUCUAUUAAGGAAGUCACAUUGAAUUUUUUCUCUUAAAUUCUAAUGCCAUUGGUAUGGCACAGAAAAAACACUUGAUAUUUUCAUUUUAACUAUAGCAACAUAACCAAGAAAUUACUUUUACUUUGCAAAAGCUUGUAAUGCACUGCAUCUAUACAUCAAAAAAAAAAAUUUAUUGAAUUUAACCACUAUAUUUUAACUAUAUGACUAUAAGAUGGAAAUCCCUUGACUUCCUGACUGCUGGAUGAGUUUCAUUUCAUUCCUUUCAUUCAGGUUUCACUCUUUUGAAAUAGGUAUAGCUACGUUGGCUUUCAGUACAAGUUUGAAUGAGGACAAGAUUCACCAACACAGGCACCAGGAGUCCCAUUCACACAAGACCCUUUACAAUCGAGGCAGAGUCUUGCCAGAACAUUCAUACACAUAAACACCAAUGCAAAAUACAAAAUCUGAGCCAAAAGAACAAUUUCUAGUCUAGAACUUUAUACUAUGGAAAAGGAAAAUCUUAGGUCUUCUUUACAUAGUGUGGUUUCUAAAUGGACUGAAAUAUGAAAACUUUGGAUAUACUUUCAAAUAUUUAGGCCAUGUGUCUAUGCCAUUGAUGUAGAUGAUGUCCAAAUAUUAAGGGCCUAAUAAAUAUCACAUGUCAUUUAAUUCAGUUUGUGAUCUCCA